rnacentral:rRNA from 1 species
UUGGAUUCAACGCCGGAAAUCUCACCGGGGGCGACAGCAAUAUGAAGGUCAGGCUGAAGACCUUACCCGAUUAGCUGAGAGGUGGUGCAUGGCCGUCGUCAGUUCGUACUGUGAAGCAUCCUGUUAAGUCAGGCAACGAGCGAGACCCACGUCCACAGUUGCCAGCAUACCCUCCGGGGUGAUGGGUACACUGUGGAGACCGCCGCUGCUAAAGCGGAGGAAGGAGUGGGCAACGGUAGGUCAGUAUGCCCCGAAUCUCCCGGGCUACACGCGGGCUACAAUGGUUGGUACAAUGGGCAUCUACCCCGAAAGGGGAAGGAAAUCUCUUAAAGCCAAUCGUAGUUCGGAUUGAGGGCUGCAACUCGCCCUCAUGAAGCUGGAAUCCGUAGUAAUCGCGUUUCAACAGAACGCGGUGAAUACGUCCCUGCUCCUU